rnacentral:ncRNA from 4 species
GCUACGCCUGUCUGAGGGUCGCU